GACGAACGCUGGCGGCGUGCCUAAUACAUGCAAGUCGAACGAUUAAAGCACCUUCGGGUGUGUAUAAAGUGGCGAACGGCUGAGUAACACGUGGGCAACCUGCCCCUCUCAUUGGGAUAGCCACGGGAAACCGUGGAUAAUACCGAAUACUUCGGGACUUCCGCAUGGAAGACCCGAGAAAGCUCCGGCGGAGAGGGAUGGGCCCGCGGCCUGUUAGCUUGUUGGUGGGGUAACGGCCUACCAAGGCAAUGAUGGGUAGCUGGGUUGAGAGACCGACCAGCCAGAUUGGGACUGAGACACGGCCCAGACUCCUACGGGAGGCAGCAGUGGGGAAUCUUGCACAAUGGGCGAAAGCCUGAUGCAGCGACGCCGCGUGCGGGAUGAAGGCCUUCGGGUUGUAAACCGCUUUCAGCAGGGACGAGGCGAAAGUGACGGUACCUGCAG
rnacentral:rRNA from 2 species